ensembl:lincRNA
CCCAUUGGCAAAGCCACUCCUCGAUAGUCCGCGUUCCGCGUGUAACUGUGAACUCAUCCAGCACAUCAGAGGGUGCAAAGAGAACCAUGAGCGGUAAUUCCAUUGCGCCGGACAGGCACUGACACCGGGUCUCUGUGCUCCGACCACCGGGACACCAAAGCGAGCGGAGGCGCGUCGGAUCCUCGGAUAUUUCUGGACAGCAUUGCGAUCCCGAGACGGACGCGCUCGGGCUGGUCGACCGCCGGUGCUAUGCGCGCCGAUAGUCGCGCUCUGUACCACCAUGUGUAGGACAAUGCACGGAUGGAGUUCAAGCACAACUUCGGUGAAAUAAGUAUGGGGAAGACACUCCGAUGCCUGGCUGACUCGACGUCCCCGUUGUUACAGAGACUCUGCGUGAUCUGCGCGCUGGCGGCGCUCUUUGCAUCACACUGCUUCAUGUGCACAAUUCCAGACAAUAUGGAGAAUCUCACGACGAGCAUCACUAAUAAUCUACCCACAGAUUAUGAGAUUCACUCAUGGAAUAAAACAAAAAUGUGCAAUAAAGAAGAUGUGCAGAAUUUCCUGGAGAAAGCACAGGAGAUAAUUGAAAUUUUUGAUCGAAAGAUGAAAAACGAAAGUUUUAUAAAGCAAGACAUCUCUAAAGUGCAGAGGAGUGUGAAAGACUUUUCCACAUGCAUCAGCAUGGAAACUUUGGCUCAAAAUUUUUGCUUGCGGUUCCAGCCCAACUUACCCCAGAACUUUUUUGGGGACUUGCACAGCAUAAUGCUGAAUAUAUCUUUGAAUAUACCUGCUCCACAAAACAAAUGCCUUUGCUUCCUUGAGUUUCUGACGAGUCCAAAACCCACAAAUGAUAUGACAGCAAAAUCCACUACGGUCCCAAACACGGAGGAAGUGCAUACUCAGGAAGCCACAGUGACAGAUCAAACCACCUCAUACCAACCCCCAUUAAAGAACCCUUUGAAGCAUCAUGAGACGGAUGGCUGGAAGAGAAUGGCCAUCAUAUCCAUGUCACUUUGCAUCAUUCUUCUGUUUAUCUUGGCAGCACUGGUGAGAUAUGGCAUUUUUUUUAUUUCCCCUCCCAUCAGACUUGCAAAGUUGUUAUAUGAAGGAAAUUGGAUACAGCAAUUGGCCAUUUCUGCUUGUAUUGUAUCUACAGCCUUUUAGUUUAUCCAUUAUUUUAAAUUAUACCUUCAUUUCUGAUUGUCACCUGGUGCACUUCCAGCAGGGGGCACUGCAUUUGCUGCAUACAACUCUUCUGAGUUGUUAAGCCGGUUGUGUAAUCGUCUGAUAGGAUAUUUGGGGAGAUAAAGGCAAGCCACUCGAACAGUGCUAUUGUGAAUCCCUAAAAGUCAUGAUUUUGACCUCAUCCUUUCUCCCUGUUUAUAAUCUAUGAGCCAAGCAGAUUCAGGUUGAACAGCUGCGUUUUAUGUUUAAAAAAAAAACUGCACCUUUGCUUUGUUGAACCCAUUCUGGAAUCAAAAAAGCUGGAGGAAGCAAUGUAGGCUUAUGACUAGACAAGGAUGGAUAAAACAUGGGAGAGACAAAACCAAAGUCAAAAAAAGAGGAGUCGGGAAGAUAAAAGAAGCAACUUUUUGGGAGCUAAUUACACACAUAACUUAUCAAUGGAAACUUUUGUUUCUAUCCUGGAUAAGGCAUCGUGUAACUUCCUGUCUGGCACUAUAGCUCAGGAGACGCCAGCAGCACAUUGCGAUGGUAUGGCACGUCGGGUCAGAAUUAGUAACAGGAGCUGGGCCUGAUCUGACGCCAUGUGUGGCCUUUGUGUGCGGGUGACCCUCAAAAUAGGGCUUUCCAAAUGAUGAAGGGCCAGACUGGGCGCCCAGGGGCCACAGGGUACAAUUUAGCAAUUGGUCGCCUUUCACCACAACUCAGUGGCCUCCUCAAACCAGCCAAGUCAAAACAUCACAUCAGCAGUCACCUGACUAUAUCCAUAGAUUAACUGGCAAAGUUGAGGCUAUGCUUUUCGCAGGUUAACAGCACGUGUGUAGCAGAUGGGGGUCAUGCUAAAUAAUUCCAGUUUGAAAGCUCAGAAACCUGGAAUCGCUAAUUGAGACAUGUGUGUCUGCUUCUGGAGAGUAAAUGCAAUCUUUCUUCUGAAGUGUGGAAAUUAUAUUUAAUCGUUUGACAAUCAUAUGGCAAGUAAUUCUUGCAUUAAAAAGCCAGUCCUGGACACAAGGAAGUUUCUGAUGAUGAUAAUACUAUUUUUAAGCAACAAUGAUCAUGUCCUGUAUGAUUGAAGUCGCAGUUUAUAAGUAUCUGAAGUCUUUGCUGACAUGGCCAACACGAGAUUCAUUAUAAGCCAUAACAUGAAACGAAUUACAUAAUUCACACUGAACUAAUGAACAGUUUGGUGCAUGAAUUUUAGAUCUGCAUAUGCCUGUCUUUUUUAUAUUUUCAGCUUCUGUACUACAGACAACUGACACAACGAGAAGGAUACACCGGUCCGAGAAGAAAUGAAAUAGCGUAGGACUGGUGCCUGGAGCAAAUUUUUAACGAGAACUUUGUGAAAGAGCUGGACCCACUCAACUGGAUCAAUCCCAGCCAGGCAUGAUCUGCACCACAUGGCAGCGCAACGUGGCUCGCCAAGAUUGCCUUUGGGCUUGAUGUAAAUUGAAUGAAGCUACUGGAGUAGAUACUUUACAGUGGAAUAGUAAAGUCUCUGGAACCAAGGUGUGGACAAAAUGACUGCAAGCAACUAUGUUUACUGUGCCAAUAAUAGGUUUUAUAAUGCUUGCAGCUGACCUGAAAUGCUGCUGUGAUUGACCACCUUGCCUGGCCGGAGAAAGAUGAUUUAGAAAGUUGAGAUGGACCUGUAAGUGAAGACAUUGUGUGGACUCUAAAAGUGCAAAAAUACUGAACAUGUUGCACCAUCCCGGGCCCAACACCAUACAAGGCAAACGUUUGUAUUCGGCUGCUGGGUGAUGAAACCGGCUCUGUGCUUGAGAAAGAUGUGGCUUCGUGGUACUGUGGUUUCCUUCCAAAGAUGCUAUAUUUUAAUAUUUUGCGAAUGCAGUGGUUUGACCGACUCCUCUGCUCGUUACUUUUAUGUUUUCAGGAACUUAUAUGAAAUUACAAAGGUCAGAGGCAUGCAACACCUGAGAUUUAAUCCAAAGACCCUUUUAAAUGCUGCUACCAUGGCUGCCUAUUGUGCCACUCAAUGCAUGGAUCACAAAGAACUCAUUUGGUGAGGCUCUCAUGAGCUUUACCUGCAACGACUGGUGGAUGGAUGGACAUUAUUUUUUGUUUUUUGAAGGGGGUUUGUUGGCGGAAGGGGGGAGGGUGGGGGGUAUUUAUGGGCUAUUGCUGCAGUGUGCAAAAGUGAUAACUGUGCAUUUUAAGGUAUUUGCUUACCCGGACAUCUUUUUGGGAAGCUUGACAUGAAUUUGUCUCAUCUUAUGACAAUGUUAAACUUCAGGAGUACAUGGAGUGUAAUCCUGAAACAAGCAGAAAUGCAGAAGCUCUGAAGGAGCUCAUCACAGUAACGAAAC